rnacentral:rRNA from 1 species
ACGCUGGCGGCACGCCUAACACAUGCAAGUCGAACGAAGUAGCAAUACUUAGUGGCAGACGGGUGAGUAACAUGUAGGUAUCUGCCCUUUGGCCUGGAAUAACACGAGGAAACUUGUGCUAAUACCGGAUAAGUCUUUACGGAGAAAGCUUUAUGCACCAUUGGAUGAGCCUGCACUUGAUUAGUUUGUUGGUGGGGUAAUGGCCUACCAAGACUGUGAUCAAUAGCUGAUUUGAGAGGAUGAUCAGCCACAUUGGGACUGAGACACGGCCCAAACUCCUACGGGAGGCAGCAGUGGGGAAUCUUGCACAAUGGAGGAAACUCUGAUGCAGCGAUGCCGCGUGAGUGAAGAAGGCCUUUGGGUUGUAAAGCUCUUUCGUCGGGGAAGAAAAUGACUGUACCCGAAUAAGAAGGUCCGGCUAACUUCGUGCCAGCAGCCGCGGUAAUACGAAGGGACCUAGCGUAGUUCGGAAUUACUGGGCUUAAAGAGUUCGUAGGUGGUUGAAAAAGUUGGUGGUGAAAUCCCAGAGCUUAACUCUGGAACUGCCAUCAAAACUUUUCAGCUAGAGUAUGAUAGAGGAAAGCAGAAUUUCUAGUGUAGAGGUGAAAUUCGUAGAUAUUAGAAAGAAUACCAAUUGCGAAGGCAGCUUUCUGGAUCAUUACUGACACUGAGGAACGAAAGCAUGGGUAGCGAAGAGGAUUAGAUACCCUCGUAGUCCAUGCCGUAAACGAUGUGUGUUAGACGUUGGAAAUUUAUUUUCAGUGUCGCAGCGAAAGCGAUAAACACACCGCCUGGGGAGUACGACCGCAAGGUUAAAACUCAAAUGAAUUGACGGGGACCCGCACAAGUAGUGGAGCAUGUGGUUUAAUUCGAAGAUACGCGCAGAACCUUACCAACACUUGACAUGUUCGUCGCGACUCUAAGAGAUUAGAGUUUUCGGUUCGGCCGGACGAAACACAGGUGCUGCAUGGCUGUCGUCAGCUCGUGUCGUGAGAUGUUGGGUUAAGUCCCGCAACGAGCGCAACCCUCACUUUUAGUUGCCAUCAUUAAGUUGGGCACUCUGAAAGAACUGCCAGUGAUAAGCUGGAGGAAGGUGGGGAUGACGUCAAGUCCUCAUGGCCCUUACGUGUUGGGCUACACACGUGCUACAAUGGUAUCUACAACAGGAAGCAAAACUGCGAAGUUAAGCAAAUCCCUAAAAGAUACCUCAGUUCGGAUUGCACUCUGCAACUCGAGUGCAUGAAGCUGGAAUUACUAGUAAUCGUGGAUCAGCGUGCCACGGUGAAUGCGUUCCCGGGUCUUGUACACACCGC